AAAUUGAAGAGUUUGAUCAUGGCUCAGAUUGAACGCUGGCGGCAGGCCUAACACAUGCAAGUCGAACGGUAACAGGAAGAAGCUUGCUUCUUUGCUGACGAGUGGCGGACGGGUGAGUAAUAUCUGGGAAACUGCCUGAUGGAGGGGGAUAACUACUGGAAACGGUAGCUAAUACCGCAUAACGUCGCAAGACCAAAGAGGGGGACCUUCGGGCCUCUUGCCAUCGGAUGUGCCCAGAUGGGAUUAGCUAGUAGGUGGGGUAACGGCUCACCUAGGCGACGAUCCCUAGCUGGUCUGAGAGGAUGACCAGCCACACUGGAACUGAGACACGGUCCAG
rnacentral:rRNA from 1 species